GUUGGCAUCUUCCAACCAUGGCCGCAGGCUGUCCAGUCUGCCAACUUUUGGUAAUCAAUUCCCUUCUGUGAACAUGUCCACUUGAGCUGGAAAAUAUACCAUCAAAGUAUGCUACAAGGACAGCUUAGUCAUCACCUAGGUAAUGGAGGUGGCAUUAUUUUACCACCAAGCAUCAGGCUGCAGCUCAUGCAGUCCGGGCUCCAUUCCCAAUACCGCCAUAAAUUCUAUUGGGGAAACGUAGUGCUUGCCUCCAUCUAAAAGGCCAAUGUCAUCCCCAGUUGGUAAGGAUUAUAUAAAUAGCUAAGUAGGAUGAAAUGAGAGGGUUUUAGGAAAUAUACAAAAUAGCUCAGGGUUUGAAGUUCAGCUGACUAUAGAGCUCUGCUCUCAAGCCAGAAGCAGCAAGACUUCUAUGGAAACCUUCCUGAGAGCUACUUUUGGAUUAGAAAUAUUCUUCAAGACUCUUUAGGAACAUAAAUCAGUGCUGCUGAACUGCACACUUCUAUGGUAUGGCACCAACUCUUUGAAAGGGCAGAUAACAGCAGGACAAGGGGAAAUGGUUUGAAGUUGAGGGAGGGAAGAUUGAGGUUGGAUGUCAGGGGGAAGUUCUUUACAGAGAGAGUGGUGAGGUGCUGGAACAGCUGCCCAGAGAGGCUGUGGAUGCCCCGUCCAUCCCUGGAGGUGUUCAAGGCCAGGUUGGAUGGGGCCCUGGGCAGCCUGGGCUGCUAUGAAAUGUGGAGGUUGGUGGCCCUGCCUGUGGCAGGGGGUUGGAGCUUCAUGAUCCUUGAGGUCCCUUCCAACCCUGGCCAUUCUGUG